UGGGGAAUAUUGGACAAUGGGCGAAAGCCUGAUCCAGCAAUGCCGCGUGAGUGAUGAAGGCCUUAGGGUUGUAAAGCUCUUUUACCAGGGAUGAUAAUGACAGUACCUGGAGAAUAAGCUCCGGCUAACUCCGUGCCAGCAGCCGCGGUAAUACGGAGGGAGCUAGCGUUGUUCGGAAUUACUGGGCGUAAAGCGUACGUAGGCGGUUAUUCAAGUCAGAGGUGAAAGCCCGGGGCUCAACCCCGGAACGGCCUUUGAAACUAGAUAGCUAGAAUCUUGGAGAGGUCAGUGGAAUUCCGAGUGUAGAGGUGAAAUUCGUAGAUAUUCGGAAGAACACCAGUGGCGAAGGCGACUGACUGGACAAGUAUUGACGCUGAGGUACGAAAGCGUGGGGAGCAAACAGGAUUAGAUACCCCGGUAGUCCCUGAGCGGGCUGGCAAGGCGCAU
rnacentral:rRNA from 1 species